rnacentral:rRNA from 1 species
UACGAAGGGGGCUAGCGUUGCUCGGAAUCACUGGGCGUAAAGCGCACGUAGGCGGACUCUUAAGUCGGUGGUGAAAUCCUGGAGCUCAACUCCAGAACUGCCUUCGAUACUGAGAGUCUUGAGUUCGGGAGAGGUGAGUGGAACUGCGAGUGUAGAGGUGAAAUUCGUAGAUAUUCGCAAGAACACCAGUGGCGAAGGCGGCUCACUGGCCCGAUACUGACGCUGAGGCACGAAAGCG